ensembl:snoRNA
AUCCAAAGUGUUGGGUUCAGUGCAGGCAGGUCCCCUGUUCUGGUAAUUAAACUUUGGGACAUUGAAAUGGGCUUGGAAAGCUAUUGGGUAGAAAUUGUUACUCUAUUCAUUUACCUCCCAGCCUACAAAG